UCUAAGAGUGGCAGAAUACAGUGCCAUGAGCUUAAAAUUCAUUUAUGAAUAUAAAUAUUUCCUUAGAA
rnacentral:tRNA from 1 species